CCUACGGGAGGCUGCAGUGGGGAAUAUUGGACAAUGGGCGAAAGCCUGAUCCAGCCAUGCCGCGUGUGUGAAGAAGGCCUUCGGGUUGUAAAGCACUUUCAGUGAGGAAGAAAGCCUUGGGGCUAAUACCCUCGAGGAAGGACAUCACCCACAGAAGAAGCACCGGCUAACUCCGUGCCAGCAGCCGCGGUAAUACGGAGGGUGCGAGCGUUAAUCGGAAUUACUGGGCGUAAAGCGCGCGUAGGCGGUCUGAUAAGCCGGUUGUGAAAGCCCCGGGCUCAACCUGGGAACGGCAUCCGGAACUGUCAGGCUAGAGUGCAGGAGAGGAAGGUAGAAUUCCCGGUGUAGCGGUGAAAUGCGUAGAGAUCGGGAGGAAUACCAGUGGCGAAGGCGGCCUUCUGGACUGACACUGACGCUGAGGUGCGAAAGCGUGGGUAGCAAACAGGAUUAGAUACCCGGGUAGUC
rnacentral:rRNA from 1 species